GACGAGGUGGCCGGAGUGUUAAGGUAAAGGACUGCUAAUCCAUUACCGCCCGCGUGGGAAGUCAGAAUCCCAUCCUCGUCG